UCAAGUUAUGAAGGGCCAACGGUGAAUGCCUUGGCGUCUGCUGCCGAUGAAGGACGUGGGAGGCUGCGAUAAGCCACGGGGAAGUGCCGACCAACUGUCGAUCCGUGGAUGUCCGAAUGGGGAAACCCAGCACCCGUAAUGGGGUGUUACUCCGACCUGAACGCAUAGGGUCGGUAGAGGGAACUGCGUGAACUGAAACAUCUCAGUAACGCGAGGAACGUAAAGCAAAAGCGACUCCCUGAGUAGCGGCGAGCGAAAUGGGAUCAGCCUAAACCGUACUGGUGUUAAAGCCCGAUGGCGUUGCCAGUAUGGGGUAGUGGGAACUAACAGAGGAGUCAUCGGACCCUCAAGGAGUUACAAAGCUGCUGGCUAGUGGAAGCGUCCUGCGAACGGCGCGCCGUAGAGGGUAAGAGCCCCGUACACGAAAGUCAUCAGCCUCCUGUUGUGUCUCCCGAGUAACGCCGGAUCCGGGAAAGCCGGCGUGAAUCUGCGAGGACCACCUCGUAAGGCUAAGUACAUGCAGACGACCGAUAGUGAACUAGUACCGUGAGGGAAAGGUGAAAAGUACCCCGGGAGGGGAGUGAAAUAGUACCUGAAACCGUUGGUCUACAAACAGUCAAAGCAGACUUGUUCUGCGAUGGCGUGCCUUUUGAAGAAUGAGCCAACGAGUUACGGUGUGUGGCAAGGUUAACCCGUCGAGGGGAAGCCGGAGCGAAAGCGAGUCUGAACAGGGCGUUCAGUCGCAUGCCGUAGACCCGAAGCCGAGUGAGCUAUCCAUGGGCAGUGUGAAGCGGAGGUAAGACUCUGUGGAGGCGCGAACCGACUUCAGUUGAAAAUGGAGCGGAUGACCUGUGGAUAGGGGUGAAAGGCCAAUCAAACUCGGUGAUAGCUGGUUCUCCGCGAAAUGCAUUUAGGUGCAGCGUCGCAUGUUCAACCAUGGAGGUAGAGCACUGAAUGGGCUAGGGGGCCUACAAGCUUACCGACCCCAAUCAAACUCCGAAUGCCAUGGUUCCAGAGUGCGGCAGUGAGACCUCGGGGGAUGAGCUUCGAGGUCGAGAGGGAAACAGCCCAGACCGCCGGCUAAGGUCCCAAAAUCUGAACUAAGUGGUAAACGAUGUGAGAUUGCGAAGACAGCCAGGAGGUUGGCUUGGAAGCAGCCAUCCUUGAAAGAGUGCGUAACAGCUCACUGGUCGAGUGAUCUUGCGCGGACAAUGUAACGGGGCUCAAGUUCAGUACCGAAGCCGCGGAUGCGACUCUUUGAGUCGUGUGGUAGCGGAGCGUCGAGCGUGCAGCGAAGCGGCGGGACAACCCAGCCGUGGAGCGCGUUCGAGUGCGAAUGUUGGCAUGAGUAGCGAAUGAGGGGUGAGAACCCCCUCCGCCGUAUGUCCAAGGGUUCCUGGGCGAGGCCAAUCCUCCCAGGGUGAGUCGGGAGCUAAGGCGAGGCCGAAAGGCGUAGUCGAUGCACAACUGGUUGAUAUUCCAGUACCACCAUGUUCGCGACCGUUCCAAUACUUUGUUGCUAAGGGGCUGUGUUGACUUCGGUUAACACGAACCGACCCACAUUGUUGCGGAAAGCUAUAGGGGGACGCAGGAAGGUAGAUGAACCCGGUGAAUGGUAGAACCGGGGUAAGCGUGUAGGAGGAGGACCAGGUAAAUCCGGGCCUCAUAAACUCUGAGACGUGAUACCGAGCCGCUUCAGGCGAAGUCAUUGAUCCUAUGCUGCCUAGAAAAGCCCAGCAGCGAGUUGACAUGGUGCCCGUACCCCAAACCAACACAGGUGGACAGGUAGAGCAUACCAAGGCGAGUGGGAUAACUAUGGUUAAGGAACUCGGCAAAUUGCCUCCGUAACUUCGGGAGAAGGAGGACCCCAGUAGCGUGAUGAGACUUGCUCUCUGAGCGUGAAGGGGUGGCACAAAAUUGAGGGAAGCGACUGUUUACCAAAAACACAGCAGCGUGCUAAGCCGUAAGGCGCUGUAUACGCUGUGACUCCUGCCCGGUGCUGGAAGGUUACGGGGAUGGGUUAGUCCUUCGGGACGAAGCUCUGAACCUAAGCCCCAGUAAACGGCGGCCGUAACUAUAACGGUCCUAAGGUAGCGAAAUUCCUUGUCGGGU
rnacentral:rRNA from 1 species